rnacentral:rRNA from 1 species
UACGAAGGGGGCUAGCGUUGUUCGGAAUCACUGGGCGUAAAGCGCACGUAGGCGGACUGAUAAGUCGGGGGUAAAAUCCCGGGGCUCAACCCCGGAACUGCCUUCGAUACUGUCAGUCUCGAGUCCGAGAGAGGUGAGUGGAAUUCCUAGUGUAGAGGUGAAAUUCGUAGAUAUUAGGAAGAACACCAGUGGCGAAGGCGGCUCACUGGCUCGGUACUGACGCUGAGGUGCGAAAGCGUGGGGAGCAAACAGG